rnacentral:rRNA from 1 species
GUUAUAUGGUCAAGUGAAGAAGCGCAUACGGUGGAUGCCUUGGCAGUCAGAGGCGAUGAAAGACGUGGUAGCCUGCGAAAAGCUUCGGGGAGUCGGCAAACAGACUGUGAUCCGGAGAUGUCUGAAUGGGGGAACCCAGCUGUCAUAAGACAGUUACCUUACACUGAAUACAUAGGUGUAUGGAGCGAACCAGGGGAACUGAAACAUCUAAGUACCCUGAGGAAAAGAAAUCAACCGAGAUUCCCUUAGUAGUGGCGAGCGAACGGGGACCAGCCCUUAAGUUGAUUUGAGAUUAGCGGAACGCUCUGGAAAGUGCGGCCAUAGUGGGUGAUAGCCCUGUACGCGAAAAUCUCUUGUCAAUGAAAUCGAGUAGGACGGGGCACGAGAAACCUUGUCUGAACAUGGGGGGACCAUCCUCCAAGGCUAAAUACUACUGACUGACCGAUAGUGAACCAGUACCGUGAGGGAAAGGCGAAAAGAACCGCGGAGAGCGGAGUGAAAUAGAUCCUGAAACCGUAUGCGUACAAGCAGUGGGAGCCCACUUUGUUGGGUGACUGCGUACCUUUUGUAUAAUGGGUCAGCGACUUAUUUUCAGUGGCGAGCUUAACCGAAUAGGGGAGGCGUAGCGAAAGCGAGUCUUAAUAGGGCGUCUAGUCGCUGGGAAUAGACCCGAAACCGGGCGAUCUAUCCAUGGGCAGGUUGAAGGUUGGGUAACACUAACUGGAGGACCGAACCGACUACCGUUGAAAAGUUAGCGGAUGACCUGUGGAUCGGAGUGAAAGGCUAAUCAAGCUCGGAGAUAGCUGGUUCUCCUCGAAAGCUAUUUAGGUAGCGCCUCAUGUAUCACUGUAGGGGGUAGAGCACUGUUUCGGCUAGGGGGUCAUCCCGACUUACCAAACCGAUGCAAACUCCGAAUACCUACAAGUGCCGAGCAUGGGAGACACACGGCGGGUGCUAACGUCCGUCGUGAAAAGGGAAACAACCCAGACCGUCAGCUAAGGUCCCAAAGUCAUGGUUAAGUGGGAAACGAUGUGGGAAGGCUUAGACAGCUAGGAGGUUGGCUUAGAAGCAGCCACCCUUUAAAGAAAGCGUAAUAGCUCACUAGUCGAGUCGGCCUGCGCGGAAGAUGUAACGGGGCUCAAACCAUGCACCGAAGCUACGGGUAUCAUCUUAGGAUGAUGCGGUAGAGGAGCGUUCUGUAAGCCUGUGAAGGUGAGUUGAGAAGCUUGCUGGAGGUAUCAGAAGUGCGAAUGCUGACAUGAGUAACGACAAUGGGUGUGAAAAACACCCACGCCGAAAGACCAAGGUUUCCUGCGCAACGUUAAUCGACGCAGGGUUAGUCGGUCCCUAAGGCGAGGCUGAAAAGCGUAGUCGAUGGAAAACAGGUUAAUAUUCCUGUACUUCUGGUUAUUGCGAUGGAGGGACGGAGAAGGCUAGGCCAGCCUGGCGUUGGUUGUCCAGGUUUAAGGUGGUAGGCUGAAAUCUUAGGUAAAUCCGGGGUUUCAAGGCCGAGAGCUGAUGACGAGUGUUCUUUAGAACACGAAGUGGUUGAUGCCAUGCUUCCAAGAAAAGCUUCUAAGCUUCAGGUAACCAGGAACCGUACCCCAAACCGACACAGGUGGUUGGGUAGAGAAUACCAAGGCGCUUGAGAGAACUCGGGUGAAGGAACUAGGCAAAAUGGCACCGUAACUUCGGGAGAAGGUGCGCCGGUGAGGGUGAAGGACUUGCUCCGUAAGCUCAUGCCGGUCGAAGAUACCAGGCCGCUGCGACUGUUUAUUAAAAACACAGCACUCUGCAAACACGAAAGUGGACGUAUAGGGUGUGACGCCUGCCCGGUGCCGGAAGGUUAAUUGAUGGGGUUAGCUAACGCGAAGCUCUUGAUCGAAGCCCCGGUAAACGGCGGCCGUAACUAUAACGGUCCUAAGGUAGCGAAAUUCCUUGUCGGGUAAGUUCCGACCUGCACGAAUGGCGUAACGAUGGCGGCGCUGUCUCCACCCGAGACUCAGUGAAAUUGAAAUCGCUGUGAAGAUGCAGUGUAUCCGCGGCUAGACGGAAAGACCCCGUGAACCUUUACUAUAGCUUUGCACUGGACUUUGAAUUUGCUUGUGUAGGAUAGGUGGGAGGCUUUGAAGCGUGGACGCCAGUCUGCGUGGAGCCAACCUUGAAAUACCACCCUGGCAACUUUGAGGUUCUAACUCAGGUCCGUUAUCCGGAUCGAGGACAGUGUAUGGUGGGUAGUUUGACUGGGGCGGUCUCCUCCUAAAGAGUAACGGAGGAGUACGAAGGUGCGCUCAGACCGGUCGGAAAUCGGUCGUAGAGUAUAAAGGCAAAAGCGCGCUUGACUGCGAGACAGACACGUCGAGCAGGUACGAAAGUAGGUCUUAGUGAUCCGGUGGUUCUGUAUGGAAGGGCCAUCGCUCAACGGAUAAAAGGUACUCCGGGGAUAACAGGCUGAUACCGCCCAAGAGUUCAUAUCGACGGCGGUGUUUGGCACCUCGAUGUCGGCUCAUCACAUCCUGGGGCUGAAGCCGGUCCCAAGGGUAUGGCUGUUCGCCAUUUAAAGUGGUACGCGAGCUGGGUUUAGAACGUCGUGAGACAGUUCGGUCCCUAUCUGCCGUGGACGUUUGAGAUUUGAGAGGGGCUGCUCCUAGUACGAGAGGACCGGAGUGGACGAACCUCUGGUGUUCCGGUUGUCACGCCAGUGGCAUUGCCGGGUAGCUAUGUUCGGAAAAGAUAACCGCUGAAAGCAUCUAAGCGGGAAACUUGCCUCAAGAUGAGAUCUCACUGGAACCUUGAGUUCCCUGAAGGGCCGUCGAAGACUACGACGUUGAUAGGUUGGGUGUGUAAGCGCUGUGAGGCGUUGAGCUAACCAAUACUAAUUGCCCGUGAGGCUUGACCAUAUAACACCCAAGCA